UGCAGAGGGUGCAUGCGGUAAGCGGAAUUACUGGGCGUAAAGCGCGAGUAGGUGGUUUGGUAAGUCGGUUGUGAAAUCCCCGGGCUUAACCUGGGAAUUGCAGUCGAUACUGUCUGUCUCGAGUGAGGAAGAGGGAAGCGGAAUUUCCGGUGUAGAGGUGAAAUGCGUAGAUAUCGGAAGGAACACCAGUGGCGAAGGUGGCUUCCUGGUCCAAUACUGACAAUGAGGCGAGAAAUCGUGGGUAGCGAACAGG
rnacentral:rRNA from 1 species